GGGAGCGGAGGGGUAACUGGCGUGCCUCCCGGGCUUCAAACCCGAGGGCGGGCUCUAAUAAAGUCCGUGGUGAGUUCGAUUCUCACACGCUCCC
rnacentral:tRNA from 1 species